rnacentral:rRNA from 1 species
GAUGAACGCUGGCGGCGUGCCUAACACAUGCAAGUCGAGCGAACGGACGAGAAGCUUGCUUCCCUGAUGUUAGCGGCGGACGGGUGAGUAACACGUGGAUAACCUACCUAUAAGACUGGGAUAACUUCGGGAAACCGGAGCUAAUACCGGAUAAUAUUUUGAACCGCAUGGUUCAAAAGUGAAAGACGGUCUUGCUGUCACUUAUAGAUGGAUCCGCGCUGCAUUAGCUAGUUGGUAAGGUAACGGCUUACCAAGGCAACGAUGCAUAGCCGACCUGAGAGGGUGGUCGGACACACGGGAACUGAGACACGGCCCAGACUCCUACGGGAGGAAGCAGUAGGGAAUCUUCCGCAAUGGGGGAAAGCCUGACGGAGCAACGCCGGGGGAGUGAUGAAGGUCUUCGGAUCGUAAAGCUCUGUUAUUAGGGAAGAACAUAUGUGUAAGUAACUGUGCACAUCUUGACGGUACCUAAUCAGAAAGCCACGGCUAACUACGUG